GCGUUGGUGGUUCAGUGGUAGAAUUCUUACCUUCCGUGCUGGAGACCAGGGCUCGAUUCCCGGCCACUGCU
rnacentral:tRNA from 1 species